rnacentral:rRNA from 1 species
CAGCCCUAAACGAUGCGCGUUAGGUGUAUCGGUGACCACGAGUCACCGAGGUGCCGAAGGGAAACCGUGAAACGUGCCGCCUGGGAAGUACGGUCGCAAGGCUGAAACUUAAAGGAAUUGGCGGGGAGCACCACAACGGGUGGAGCCUGCGGUUUAAUUGGACUCAACGCCGGGAAGCUCACCGGAUAAGACAGCGGAAUGAUUGCCGGGCUGAAGACCCUGCAUGACCAGCUGAGAGGAGGUGCAUGGCGUAGUCGUGU